UACGGGGGGGGUAAGCGUUGUUCGGAAUUACUGGGCGUAAAGGGCUCGUAGGCGGCCAACUAAGUCAGACGUGAAAUCCCUCAGCUUAACUGGGGAACUGCGUCUGAUACUGGAUGGCUUGGAUUCGGGAGAGGAAUGCGGAAUUCCAGGUGUAGCGGUGAAAUGCGUAGAUAUCGGGAGGAACACCAGUGGCGAAGGCGUCUUCCUGGACCAGAACUGACGCUGAGGCGCGAAAGCUAGGGGAGCAAACAGG
rnacentral:rRNA from 1 species